GACGGGGCCCGCACAAGCGGUGGAGUAUGUGGUUUAAUUCGAUGCAACGCGAAGAACCUUACCUGGUCUUGACAUCCCGGAGACCCUUAGGAAACUAGGGGGUGCUUCCAUCUGGAAGAAUCUGGAGACAGGUGCUGCGUGGCUGUCGUCAGCUCGUGUCGUGAGAUGUUGGGUUAAGUCCCGCAACGAGCGCAACCCUUGCCUUUAGUUGCCAGCAGUUCGGCUGGGCACUCUAAAGGGACUGCCGGUGUUAAACCGGAGGAAGGUGGGGAUGACGUCAAGUCCUCAUGGCCUUUAUGACCAGGGCUACACACGUACUACAAUGGCCGAUACAAAGGGCAGCGACACUGCGAGGUGAAGCCAAUCCCGUAAAAUCGGUCUCAGUCCGGAUUGGAGUCUGCAACUCGACUCCAUGAAGUUGGAAUCGCUAGUAAUCGUGGAUCAGCAUGCCACGGUGAAUACGUUCCCGGGCCUU
rnacentral:rRNA from 1 species